rnacentral:rRNA from 1 species
AAUCAACGCUGGCGGCGUGCCUAACACAUGCAAGUCGAACGAGAAAGUGACUUCGGUCACUGGACAGUGGCGUCCGGGUGAGUAACACGUGGGUAAUCUACCUUCGGGUGGGGAAUAACGUCUCGAAAGAGACGCUAAUACCGCAUAAUGCAGCGGCACCUUAUGGUGAAUAGUUGUUAAAGCGGGGGAUCGCAAGACCUCGCGCCUGAAGAGGAGCCUGCGGCAGAUAGCUUGUUGGUGAGGUAAUGGCCUACCAAGGCGACGACGGGUAGCCGGCCUGAGAGGGCGACCGGCCACACUGGGACUGAGACACGGCCCAGACUCCUACGGGAGGCAGCAGUGGGGAAUCUUGCGCAAUGGGCGAAAGCCUGACGCAGCGACGCCGCGUGAGGGAUGACGGCCU